AUGGGACUGUUUAGCAAGAAAGGUCCUUCUGGGUUCUCUUCAACUUCCACAGCGGAGGAAGUUACACAAGGGAUUGAUGCAACUGGUCUUACUGCCAUUGUCACAGGAGCCUCUAGUGGUAUUGUCACGGAGACCACGCGUGUUCUUGUGUUGCGUGGUGCUCAUGUAGUCAUGGCAGUGAGGAACAAGGAUGCUGGCACUAAUGUCAAAAGAAGCAAUCCUUAAGGAAAUUCCGGAUGCUAAAAUUGAUGUUAUGGAGUUAGACCUCAGUUCAUUGGCAUCUGUUAGAAAGUUUGCAGAAGAUUACAUUGCCUUGGGUCUUCCAUUGAAUAUUCUUAUUAACAAUGCACGUGUUAUGGCAAGCCCAUUCAAGCUUUCUCAAGACAACAUUGAACUCCAAUUUGCAACUAACCAUGUAGGUCAUUUUCUUCUAACGGAUCUUCUGUUGGAGACCAUGAAAAACACCACAAAAGAAAGCAACAUUGAGGGGAGAAUUGUUAACUUAUCAUCCCUCGGCCAUCAAUACAGCUACCCUGAGGGAAUUCGUUUUGAUGCAAUCAAUGAUGAAUCAAAAUACAAAAAAUAUUAUGCUUAUGGACAAUCCAAGCUUGCAAACGUAUUGCAUGCUAAAGAACUUAACAGGCGUCUCAAGGAAGAAGGAGUGGAUAUAACAGCUAACGCUGUUCACCCUGGAACAAUUCUCACCAAUCUUAUGCGCUAUGAUAACCUUUUACAUUCUGCUAUGAAGGUGCUGCGUUUAUUCUUCACUAAAUCUAUUCCUCAGGGAGCAGCAACCACAUGCUUUGUGGCACUGAAUCCACAAGUUAAGGGAGUGAGCGGCAAAUACUUUGCGACUGUAAUGUUGCCAAGCCGAGCUCUCAGGCAAAAGAUGCAGAUUUGGCUACUAAACUCUGGGAUUUCAGCACGACCUUGACCAAAGUCAAGUAG